AAUCCAUGAUGUGGGAAGUCUCUGAGCAUUCCCUUAAAUCUAUCCCAAGCUUCAUAGAGAGAUUCAGAGUCUAUUUGCUUGAGACUUGCAAUGAGUUUACAGAGGUG